CCUACGGGAGGCAGCAGUAAGGAAUAUUGGUCAAUGGAGGCAACUCUGAACCAGCCAUGCCGCGUGCAGGAAGAAGGCCCUAUGGGUCGUAAACUGCUUUUGUACCAGAGAAAACCCGAGUACGUGUACUCGGUUGAUAGUAUGGUAAGAAUAAGCAUCGGCUAACUUCGUGCCAGCAGCCGCGGUAAGACGAAGGAUGCAAGCGUUAUCCGGAUUCAUUGGGUUUAAAGGGUGCGUAGGCGGACUGAUAAGUCAGUGGUGAAAUCUCUCGGCUUAACCGAGAAACUGCCAUUGAUACUGUUAGUCUAGAGUAUAGAUGACGUUGGCGGAAUAUGACAUGUAGUGGUGAAAUACUUAGAUAUGUCAUAGAACACCGAUUGCGAAGGCAGCUAACGAAACUAUAACUGACGCUGAGGCACGAAAGUGCGGGGAUCAAACAGGAUUAGAUACCCUGGUAGUCCGCACCGUAAACGAUGAUUACUCGUUGUUGGCAAUAUGACCGUCAGCGACCAAGCGAAAGCGAUAAGAAUCCACCUGGGGAGUACGCCGGCACGGUGAAACGUUAAGGAAUUGACGGCGNGAGACGAGACGACGACGACGACGAGGGAGGAGG
rnacentral:rRNA from 1 species